rnacentral:pre_miRNA from 1 species
CGUUUGAGGAUUAGAAUAAACAUGUGUAGAAAUUCCUAGAGGAUAAAAUUUGGGUUGUUUUGGAUUGUUUUAUGAAUUUCAAUUCUGUUCUUAUUCUUUUAUUCGCAAAUU